AGUGAACGCUGGCGGUAGGCCUAACACAUGCAAGUCGAACGGCAUCACAGUACUAGCUUGCUCUUUCUGCUGGCGAGUGGCGGACGGGUGAGGAAUAUAUCGGAAUCUACUUUUUCUUGGUUUAUAACUUAGGGAAACUUACCCUAAUACCGCAUACGACCUACUUUUGAAAUCAUGGGAUCUUCGGACCUUGCGCGAUUGAAUGAGCCGAUGUCGGAUUAGCUAGUUGGCGGGGUAAAGGCCCACCAAGGCGACGAUCCGUAGCUGGUCUGAGAGGAUGAUCAGACACACUGGAACUAAGACACGGUCCAGACUCCUACGGGAGGCAGCAGUGGGGAAUAUUGGACAAUGGGCGUAAGCCUGAUCCAGCCAUACCGCGUGGGUGAAGAAGGCCUUCGGGUUGUAAAGCACUUUUGUUGGGAAAGAAAAGCAGCAGGUUAAGACCAAGCUGUUCUGAAGGUACCCAAAGAAUAAGCACCGGCUAACUUCGUG
rnacentral:rRNA from 1 species